ACAUACGGCCAUAGACAGCAGAAAGCUCGGGAUCCCGUCCGCUCUCCCCUAGAUAAGCUGCUGAUCGCAGGAUUACCUAGUACUCAGGUCGGUGACGACUGGGGAAUCCCCUGUGCUGUAUGUU
rnacentral:rRNA from 1 species